GAUGAAGAACGUAGCGAAAUGCGAUAAGUAAUGUGAAUUGCAGAAUUCAGUGAAUCAUCGAAUCUUUGAACGCACAUUGCGCCCCUUGGUAUUCCGAGGGGCAUGCCUGCUCGAGCGUCAUUAUAACCCCUCAAGCUCAGCUUGGUGUUGGGGCCUGCUGCACUGGCAGCCCUUAAAAUCAGUGGCGGCGCCAUCUGGCUCUAAGCGUAGUAAUUCUUCUCGCUAUGGAGUCCUGGUGGAUGCUUGCCAUCAACCCCCAAUUUUUCUAUGGUUGACCUCGGAUCAGGUGGGGAUACCCGCUGAACUUAAGCAUAUCAAUAAGCGGAGGA
rnacentral:misc_RNA from 1 species